GACGAACGCUGGCGGCGUGCUUAACACAUGCAAGUCGAACGGAAAGGCCCUGCUUUGGUGGGGUGCUCGAGUGGCGAACGGGUGAGUAACACGUGAGUAACCUGCCCUUGACUUUGGGAUAACGUCAGGAAACUGGGGCAAAUACCGGAUAGGAGCUCCUGCUGCAUGGUGGGGGUUUGAAAGUUUCGGAGGUUGGGGAUGGACUCGCGGCUUAUCAGCUUGUUGGUGGGGUAGUGGCUUACCAAGGCUUUGACGGGUAGCCGGCCUGAGAGGGUGACCGGCAAAAUGGGGACUGAGAUACGGCCCGGAGUCGUACGGGAGGCAGCAGUGGGGAAUAUUGCACAAUGGGCGGAAGCCUCAUGCAGCAACGCCGCGUGCGGGAUGACGGCCUUCGGGUUGUAGACCGCUUUCGCCUGUGACGAAGCGUGAGUGCCGGUAAUGUGUAAAGAAGCACCGGCUAACUACGUG
rnacentral:rRNA from 1 species